CCGAGUAGGCAUACAUGCCUUUGUGUUUCAACAUCAACCUUAAAGUGUAACUUUAUUAUUAUUUGCUGUAAAAUUCUGAUCUCAAAUCCGUUUGUGGUUUCCACUUUUUUAGCUGUCAUUGAUUUCUGCAAAACCAAAAAGACUCGUUUUUUGUUUGUGCUUAUUUCACUCUUCACACGAUCCCCAACGCUGACUUCUUUUCUUCUUCACUCCAGUCUCCUGACUCUUCUUCUGCUUCUGGACGUCAGUGAUCUGAAUGAUUUCUGGUGUUGAUUGGAACAAACUAUAGUUCACUUCUAGCACAACCUGAUACUUCCAAGAGCAUAAGAAAAUGCAAUUGUACCAUCAUCUUGGACUCCCAGAAGGUGAGACUUGCGGUGGAAGAGAAAGGCAUUGAUUAUACAUCUCACCAUGCCAAUCCCAUAACUGGCAAGAACUUGGAUUCUUCAUUCUUUAACAUGAAACCCGGUGGAAGACUCCCAGAUUUUCAAAAUGGCUCUCACAUCCUUUGCAAGACUAUUGAUAUAAUCCAGUAUGCUCUCUUCACAACGUAUUCAUUCACCAUCCUGUUAUUAUUGCCUCAAAUACAUGUGUAUAAAAGAAAUUUCACUUUGAAGAUUGACAUGGCAUUAUAAAUUAACCUCCCUCCCCCACCCAAAUGAUUGCUGGCAAAGCUGCUCUCUACAUAUUUAUCAGGGAAGGAAUCCUCUCAUGUUGAAUUUUCACAUGAUGUGAUCAUGUGAAAAUUGUGUCUAUCUUCUUAAAAGUACGCAAAUUUUAAUAUGCACCUAUUUAAUUUUCCUGAAAGAAAGAUAGACACAAUUUUCACAUGAAGUGGUCGCGUGGAAGUUCAUGAGAGGAUCUAUUCUCUAUGUACCAUUACUCUCCAAACCAAUUCCCUUGAAGCACACAAAUUUUAUGGUUUUUAUGGUAUAUGAAUCUUUGGAUAAGAGGACAUAAGAUUAGACUAUAGAGAAAACUGGGGCACAUUGUCGGGCAUAGAUAUUUGGCAUGCGAAUGAAUAAGCCCAACCUAGAACUAGCACCAUUUCAUUUCAAUUUCAUUACAACCUCUCUUUUGUUCUCUUUGGUACGAACUUUGCAUUAAUGACAUGGUUCAGUUCUUU